rnacentral:rRNA from 1 species
AUACGUAGGGGGCGAGCGUUGUCCGGAAUGAUUGGGCGUAAAGGGCGCGUAGGCGGCCCGGUAAGUCUGGAGUGAAAGUCCUGUUUUUAAGAUGGGAAUUGCUUUGGAUACUGUCGGGCUUGAGUGCAGGAGAGGAAAGUGGAAUUCCCAGUGUAGCGGUGAAAUGCGUAGAGAUUGGGAGGAACACCAGUGGCGAAGGCGACUUACUGGACUGUAACUGACGCUGAGGCGCGAAAGCGUGGGGAGCAAACAGGAUUAGAUACCCUGGUAGACCACACUGUAAACGAUGAAUGCUAGGUGUAGGGGGUAUCGACCCCUUCUGUGCCGCAGUCAACACAAUAAGCAUUCCGCCUGGGGAGUACGGCCGCAAGGUUGAAACUCAAAUGAAUUGGCGGGG